rnacentral:tRNA from 1 species
UCCAUUGCUCAGUUGGUAAAGCACAAAGCUCUUAACCUUGUGGACAUGGGUUCAAGCCCUAAAAUGGAG